GGCUGGUCUGACUGUAGCGUGUUAGCAGAACUUAUUAACAUUAGCGUCGGUAAAGUUGGCACACAACCCCAACACUGCUAUAUUUGACUGGCUAAU
rnacentral:Y_RNA from 1 species